CGGGGCGUAGCGCAGCCUGGUAGCGAAUCUGGUUUGGGACCAGAGGGUCGCAGGGUCAAAUCCUGCCGCCCCGACCA
rnacentral:tRNA from 1 species